UCAGAACCUCCCCUCCCCCGCCGGGGCCUGGGCGCGCCUGCCCUUCGCUCCCCGACCUCCUGCUGCAGCUCUGGGCCCCUCGGCCGCUCCCUCCCCUCCUCCCUUGCUCACCCCACGGUUGGCCGCGGAUCUCCAGCACGCCGCCCCAGUCCUCGGCGUCCCGCAGCGCCUGCCAGGGUCGCCGAGCCUCCCCUGCCUCCUGGCCGCCUCUGCAGUGCCGUCCUCCCGGGGCUGGCUCUCUCCCCAGGCCCCCGCUUUGGCCACCCAGGCACUUUCCGCCCUGAGCGUGGCAGCUGCUGCCGGGGGUCCUGGGACCGCGGGAUGGGAACUCCCACGCAGCGUCCCACAGGCUCCUGGCCGCCGCGAGCCCGCGCGACUCGCACGAGCAUGUCCACCCGCAGCGAGGGGCCGGUCACUGCUACGGAGCCCGCCAGAAGGCAAAGCCCCAGACAGCAAAUAGGGAGGCGGCUGGCACCCAGGGAGGCCGAGGCGGGAGGAUCGCUGGAGCCCAGGAGUUCGAGACCUGCCUUGGCAACAUAGUAAGACGCCCCCCCACCCCCCGCCCACCAUCUCUACAAUAAAUUUAAGAAUUAGCCUGGC
rnacentral:lncRNA from 10 species